rnacentral:rRNA from 1 species
UACCUCGUAGAAGGUAGACGCUUCGGGGUUCGAGGUGUAUCAGGCCUAGGCGUAGCAUCAAACAGAGGAGGAGAAGUAGAAGGACAAGUAGUUAGGCACGAGCCGAGCUUCUUCGUGGACGAGCCGACCUUCUACCUGCUCGCUUUCUUCGUGCACGAACCGAGCUUCUACCUGCUCGUCUUCUUUUGUGAAGGUAAGAUAUGACUCGUGCACGUGCGUGUAGGCACCUACUUGGCGGUACCGUUCUCUCAUUUCGCCGAUCACAAGCCGUUGCUAAGUGUUGGAAGACGUCUCCGUUUCUGUAACUGUACGCGGAGACCGAUGUUGUCGCUGCUCCUACGACGACCGUGGCCGUGUGGCCUGCAGCACUCGCUCGACGGCAACGGCCGCUGAGGUUGCUCCGACCUCGCGAGCACGAGGUUGUAGCUCUGCCGCUCCGGACCGACCUUCCGCAAGCUGGACAACUCAACAGUACAAUGCAAACAUGGGUAUAGAGCUGGGCCGCGGCGAGGGGUGGUUCAUCUUCGUGGGUCUCCGGUAGGCGGGGCUGGCGGUUGUAUACGGUGCUGGGCUGCAGCGGGUUAGCCUCACGGCAGCGUGGUCGAGCGGUAUCGUGGUUCGCGUAGGGGAUGGCGUCUAAAGCCCCGAUCGGCGGUGGGGACGGUUAGCGCAUACCCGUCCACGCCCGACUGCGGGGGGAGGGCCGGAGCUGGAAGGGGCACGGGAACGAAGGUCAGGGGUUUAGGUCCUCUCUGUCGCCCCCGUGCCGGGUUCUAGCCGCUGUCCCGUGCUCGCCUGCAACCUCUCUGCUCUAGCUGUCCAAUGGUGGUCUUCGACGGGUGCGGUCCUUCUUUGACGUUCUUCACGUGAACGACGACAACGCAACCUGAUCGACCACAACGUAACCUUCCUUCUGCUUAAUGGGCCGUUCUUGUCGAAGUUGUAGAGUGUAGUAGUUCAUCGUUGGGUGGGGCACAACCUGCACCGGGUCUUUGGUCGGGUGUGAAGGAGGGUAGGGGCUGGCUUGUGUCUCUCCUUUUUUGACAGCGAUUGUGCGUGAGUGCAGAGGCGGAGGGGGGUUGAGGGUUGAGGGUUGAGCGAGGGCUGGGGCUGGGGUAGAGAGAGGUCCUUUUCAGCGGCGGUCACCGCCGACACAAGCAGCGGGGCGGUGGCUAGGUAGGCGACGGCGCGCGGAAGACCUAGUUCCACUCCCUACGGAGGGCAGGGCACGCGGGCGGAACCUUCUCUCUACCCCCUCUCUUUCCCUCUCUAUUCUCUCUCCCUCCUCGCCUGUCGCCGCCGCGACCGGAUUAGCGGCUGUAUCCUUCUACUCCAGUACCAAGGUUUCGCACCGCCCAACCGCGACGACUAAGUAUCGACAGCUGAAGGAACAAACGAAAACCGACGCCCGCGUCGUGGAACGGAAGUACAGUGGUUCUUCCAGACGUCAGGUAGUAGUAGG